CACGUAGGGGGCAAGCGUUGUCCGGAUUUAUUGGGCGUAAAGAGCUCGUAGGUGGUUCGGUCAGUCAGGUGUGAAACCUCCAGGCUCAACCUGGAGACGCCACUUGAUACUGCUGUGACUGGAGUCCGGUAGGGGAGCGUGGAAUUCCUGGUGUAGCGGUGAAAUGCGCAGAUAUCAGGAGGAACACCAGCGGCGAAGGCGGCGCUCUGGGCCGGUACUGACACUGAGGAGCGAAAGCGUGGGUAGCAAACAGG
rnacentral:rRNA from 1 species